GACAGAGGUCCCGAGCGUUAGGCGGAAUCACUGGGCUUAAAGCGUGUGUAGGCGGAUUGGUAAGUACCUUGUGAAAUCCCACGGCUUAACCGUGGAACUGCUUGGUAUACUGCUUAUCUUGGGCCACUUAGGGGUUACCGGAACAAACGGUGGAGCGGUGAAAUGCGUAGAUAUCGUUUGGAACGCCAAUGGUGAAAACAGGUAACUGGGAGUGUGCCGACGCUGAGACACGAAGGCGUGGGGAGCGAACGGG
rnacentral:rRNA from 1 species